GAUGAAGAACGCAGCGAAAUGCGAUAAGUAAUGUGAAUUGCAGAAUUCAGUGAAUCAUCGAAUCUUUGAACGCACAUUGCGCCCGCCAGUAUUCUGGCGGGCAUGCCUGUUCGAGCGUCAUUACAACCCUCAGGCCCCCGGGCCUGGCGUUGGGGAUCGGCGGAAGCCCCCUGCGGGCACAACGCCGUCCCCCAAAUACAGUGGCGGUCCCGCCGCAGCUUCCAUUGCGUAGUAGCUAACACCUCGCAACUGGAGAGCGGCGCGGCCACGCCGUAAAACACCCAACUUCUGAAUGUUGACCUCGAAUCAGGUAGGAAUACCCGCUGAAUUUAAGCAUAUCAAUAAGCGGAGGA
rnacentral:misc_RNA from 1 species